rnacentral:rRNA from 1 species
CCUACGGGAGGCAGCAGUGAGGAAUAUUGGUCAAUGGGCGCAAGCCUGAACCAGCCAAGUCGCGUGAGGGAUGACGGUCCUAUGGAUUGUAAACCUCUUUUGUCGGGGAGCAAGGCCCGCCACGUGUGGCGGGAAGGAGAGUACCCGAAGAAAAAGCAUCGGCUAACUCCGUGCCAGCAGCCGCGGUAAUACGGAGGAUGCGAGCGUUAUCCGGAUUUAUUGGGUUGAAAGGGUGCGUAGGCGGAAGGUUAAGUCAGCGGUCAAAUGGCGGUGCUCAACACCGGCCUGCCGUUGAAACUGGUCGUCUUGAGUGAGCGAGAAGUAUGCGGAAUGCGUGGUGUAGCGGUGAAAUGCAUAGAUAUCACGCAGAACUCCGAUUGCGAAGGCAGCAUACCGGCGCUCAACUGACGCUGAGGCACGAAAGCGUGGGGAUCGAACAGGAUUAGAUACCCCUGUAGUC